rnacentral:rRNA from 1 species
CUUUUUGUGAGUUUGAACCUGGCUCAGAACGAACGCUGGCGGCAGGCUUAACACAUGCAAGUCGAGCGCCCCGCAAGGGGAGCGGCAGACGGGUGAGUAACGCGUGGGAAUGUACCCUUUUCUACGGAAUAACUCAGGGAAACUUGUGCUAAUACCGUAUAAGCCCUUCGGGGGAAAGAUUUAUCGGGAAAGGAUGGGCCCGCGUUGGAUUAGCUAGUUGGUGGGGUAAAGGCUNACCAAGGCGACGAUCCAUAGCUGGUCUGAGAGGAUGAUCAGCCACACUGGGACUGAGACACGGCCCAGACUCCUACGGGAGGCAGCAGUGGGGAAUAUUGGACAAUGGGCGCAAGCCUGAUCCAGCCAUGCCGCGUGAGUGAUGAAGGCCCUAGGGUUGUAAAGCUCUUCACCGGGAAGAUAAUGA